ACCCUUUAAUGUUUGAUGUUCUAACGUGGACCCGUGAUCCGGGUUGCGGACAGUGUCUGGUGGGUAGUUUGACUGGGGCGGUCUCCUCCUAAAGAGUAACGGAGGAGCACGAAGGUUGGCUAAUCCUGGUCGGACAUCAGGAGGUUAGUGCAAUGGCAUAAGCCAGCUUGACUGCGAGCGUGACGGCGCGAGCAGGUGCGAAAGCAGGUCAUAGUGAUCCGGUGGUUCUGAAUGGAAGGGCCAUCGCUCAACGGAUAAAAGGUACUCCGGGGAUAACAGGCUGAUACCGCCCAAGAGUUCAUAUCGACGGCGGUGUUUGGCACCUCGAUGUCGGCUCAUCACAUCCUGGGGCUGAAGUAGGUCCCAAGGGUAUGGCUGUUCGCCAUUUAAAGUGGUACGCGAGCUGGGUUUAGAACGUCGUGAGACAGUUCGGUCCCUAUCUGCCGUGGGCGCUGGAGAACUGAGGGGGGCUGCUCCUAGUACGAGAGGACCGGAGUGGACGCAUCACUGGUGUUCGGGUUGUCAUGCCAAUGGCACUGCCCGGUAGCUAAAUGCGGAAGAGAUAAGUGCUGAAAGCAUCUAAGCACGAAACUUGCCCCGAGAUGAGUUCUCCCUG
rnacentral:rRNA from 1 species